GGGGCGGGCGAGGCGGCGCGCAGGCUGGCGUAGCUACGGUGGUCGGCGGGCGAGCGGCCGGCGGUGGGCGACGAGGCGGCGCUGCUGCGGCCGCUCAGGCUCGGCCCGUCGGGCGAGCAGCCGGCGCCCCCUUCCUCGUACAGGCCCAGGGGGUCGCUGGGGUCGGCGCCAGCGCCCACGCCGCCGACCGGCGAGGACGACGCGCCCAGGCCGCCGAACAGGUAGACGCGCUUUACCUUCUUCUCGGUCAGGUGUUUACCCGGGGCCCCGAGGCUGGUUGAGGCCGAGGCCGCCGCCGAGGCCGAGGCCGAGGCGCCGGGAGUCCGCGCCUUGUACAGCGAGUGGUGGUCGGCGGCCGCGGCGGCGCCCAGGGGCAGCAGGGCGGCGGCCCCCGCCUGCUCCGCCGCUAAGGAGGCGGAGGAGGCGGCCGCCGUUUUCCCGCCGCCGCCGCCCGCCAGGAUAAGCUUGGCGUGGGGCUUGCCGACCCCGCCGCCCGCGCCGCCCGCCACUUUGGAGCCGCAGCUCUUUUUCUGCGCGGGUUUGGAGUUGGCGCCGCCGCCGCCGCUCGCGCCGCCGCCUCCUCCCCCCGCGUUGCUGCUCCCGCCGCCGCCCCCGUGGCCGCCCCCGCCGCUGCCACCGACCUUGUCACCCUUCUCCCCCGGCUUCGAGGAGGCGGCGGUGGAGGAGCUGGAGUUGGCGUUGCCGGACUUCACCUUCUUCCUGGGCCGGUACUUGUAGUCGGGGUAGUCAGCCAUGUGCUUGAGGCGCAGCCGCUCCGCCUCCCGAAUGAAAGGGAUCUUGUCGCUGUCUUUGAGCAGCUUCCAGCGUUUGCCCAGCCGCUUGGAGAUCUCGGCGUUGUGCAUGUCGGGCGACUGUUCCAUGAUCUUGCGCCGCUCGAUCUGCGACCACACCAUGAAGGCGUUCAUGGGCCGCUUGAUGUGCCCACUUGGCGUCUUGCACCAGCUCGGGUCGUCGGCCUUGCCGCCCGUGGAGGCUGUGGAGCCGGGCGUGGGGGAGGAGGCGAUGCCCAGCUCCAGGCCGGCGCCCGAGUCCGAGCUCUCGCCGGCCAGCAGCGCUUCCGUGUUCUCGGCGUUGUUGGUUUGCUGCACCAUGGCCCCGGCUCCGCGGGCGCCCACGCGCGCUCACACCCUCGCGGCGGCCGCGGCGCGAUCGCCGGGCCCUCCCGGCUCCCGGAGCCAAGCGCACGCCGAGCGGGAGGACGCGUGCGGCUGCGGAGCUGGCCGCUCAACUCCCGGCCGGGGCGGAGGUGGGCGAAGAGCGAAAAGUCACCAAAGGAUGCGGGGUAGGAGUACUCCGCCUCUUGCAGAGGAGUUAUAGUUCCCAGGCUGGAGCGUCUCCCUCCCUCCCUCCCUCUCUCGCUCUUGCUCUUCUCUUUCUCACCGCGCCGCAGUUUGCUCUAUCUCGGCUCGGAGUCCUGGAGACCGUGCUAAAGUGAAGAGGAGUUUCUCGAAUGCUGGUUGCUGAAGCUUCCAGUGCAAGUUUCUCGCCGCCUCCCAGGCAAGUCUGGAUUUUUUUUUUUUUUUUUUUUCUUCCCCUGAAGCAGUUGAUUCCAGUUCACGAGCGCUCUCGGGAGCUCAGGAAAGCGACAUAGUCUCUAUCAUUUAGUCCCUCUCCUGCAAUGCAAAGCAGAAAAGACUCUGGCUCCAGGACUCUCUGUGGGCGGAAUCGGCACUAAGGAGUUUGUGCAAUUAUUUUGUUGCAAGGUAGGAAGCCAAAAAGCCUUCAUGCAACAGACUGGCAUGAAUAAAUGUAUGUUUCCCCCUCCCUUCUGCAAGAAGGGAGCUGGUAAUGGCACAGUUCCUCCGAUGCAGACUCUUAAAGAGCGUGCAAGAACUAGAGACCCGGGAGCGAAACAGGCCUCUCCCCCUCACACACUGUUUCUCUUGCUGCAGCUUAGAGCAGACCCCAAUUCCGCCUCGCGCCUCUUUAUCCUUUCCCAGUCCUGGCCGCAGCCAAUCAGCCGCUGUAACCAACGCUUCCUCGUGCCAAGCCCCUCCCCCGGGCUUCCUAUUGGCUUGGAACCCGAUGCAAUAAUAAUCUCCGCGUGCAAUGAGAAGCUCCAAAUCUGACCUCAUUCCAAUUUACAGAGCAAACUUUUUAAAAGGGCUAGAAGUACAGCUGAGAUUUCUGCUGCCUCUUUUUUCCUUUUGCUGUGCCUGCGUGUGUGCGUUUGUGUGUGUGUCUGUGUAUGUGUGUGUGUGCAGCAUGUGGUGUUUGAAGAGGAUGUUAAUGCAUGAAAUUAUUAAGGGGAGAGACGGAAAUGUAUUCUAACCAUUAUGUUAGAUAACAAGGGGCUUAGAAGGGGGGAGGGUGAAAUACUGUAAAUGGAAGCUUUCUGCUUAAAAGCCAAGUGAUUAUUUUUAUUAGUUCUUUUCAGUAUUGGAAUAAAGAAUCAGCCUCUGGUGCAAAAUCUGUUCCUCGGCUCCUUCAUAAAGCCAAGGAUGUAGAAGGGGGAGGAAAACCACGACAAUAAAUCAAUGGAUAUUGAAAACCAUUAAGAAAGUGGUACCUGGACACCUGUCAUCACAGUUAUUUUAACAACUCGAGCUGCUUCAAUCAAAUGGAACUGAAAGACCCAGACAAAGAGAAACUAGAAGGCAGUGGUAGCUGGUUGCAGAAGAAAAUGGAACCUCUGGAUUUACAUUAGAUUUGGUGAUUUAUAUUAGAUCUGGUCGCUAGUCCUUUUUACUGGUCUUGUAACCCUGGGGAUGUGACAAGUAUCAGUUUUCCUCAUCUGUGAUGUGGGAACAGUAGGAACUACUUUAUGUAGGGUGUUUGUGAAGGUUGAAUGAGCUUGAUGUACAGUAAGCCCUCAGUGAAUGCUGUUGUCCUUCCCUGGCUAAUUCACAUUGUGAAGACACUCCCUUUAGUAGAAGCAUGUUGUUCAAGAGACUAAAAUUGAGGAUGGCCACUGAUGUGAAAAAAUAAUCACAGAUCAUAAACAUGAACUAUCCAAGGACCACAUCAGCAAUCCUAUUGUCCUAAUGAUUUGAAAAGAAACUUCAUGAAGAGCCUUGUGAAGAACGCAGCAAAGAAAAUGUGCUUUCGUAGUCAGAAUACAUGCUAAUUUAGCCAUGAAAAUUACCUUUGGUCUAAGGUAUGAAAAUUAAAAUUCUACUAAAAAUUGGUCUUCCUUAACACCUUAAUAGUAAACUGUUUUUCUAUCAGCCAAUGCUAAGUGGUUAGGUAGGGCUAACCUAACAUAAUUUAAGUCAGCUUUCUAUUCAGAUCAAACUAGUGCGAGGCAGUAGAUUUCUAUUUAUCUUGUCAAACUUUUAAAGUAUGUAGGCUGGCGAGAGGCCCAGGUUGUCAGAUGUAGAAUUUUACUGGAAAGAACACCCUUUGGAGACAUCUGACUGGACCUCUAAGGAUUAACCACAUGCAAGAAUGUUUUUGUGGGUAAAAGCAAAUAAUUUUUGACCAGUAGUUACCCAAGUUAUAUGCUUUUUCUUUUAGAAGGAGAAACAAAUCUUAAAAACAAACAAACAAAUUAAAAACCCGCAGGCACUUCUUUUGCAUAUAACAAAAUUGGGUGUGUUAUCAUGCUUUUCAUUUUCUUUGGUAUGCAUACCACAACACACCCGUACAUGUUAUCAGUCUGACAUAAAAAUUACUCUAAGAGGUCUAUUAUUUAUAAAAUCAAUAUUUCCACAAGAAUAAAAAAAAAGAAUAAACACCAUGUUUAUUUGGGGACUUGUACCAACUAAGGAUUUGAGGGUGUAGCUAGUUUGUGAUAAUUCAGUCAAGGUGAGUAUCAAUAUAAUUGAUUAUAUUUCCCAAGCUGUUUAUGUUUCUAGCAGUGAAUAUUAUCAGGGAAAAGUGAAGUUAAAGCAGAGUAGUUUUGUUUAUGUUUAAAGCACACAGAUCUUUUU
rnacentral:lncRNA from 1 species